GACGAACGCUGGCGGCGUGCUUAACACAUGCAAGUCGAGCGGUAAGGCCCUUUCGGGGGUACGACGAGCGGCGAACGGGUGAGUAACACGUGGGUGACCUGCCCUCAGCUCUGGGAGUAAGCCUGGGAAACCGGGUACUAAUACCGGAUAUGACUCCAUGACGCAUGUUGUGGGGUGGAAAGCCUUGUGCGGCUGAGGAUGGGCCCGCGGCCUAUCAGCUUGUUGGUGGGGUGAUGGCCUACCAAGGCGACGACGGGUAGCCGGCCUGAGAGGGCGACCGGCCACACUGGGACUGAGACACGGCCCAGACUCCUACGGGAGGCAGCAGUGGGGAAUCUUGCGCAAUGGGCGAAAGCCUGACGCAGCGACGCCGCGUGAGGGAUGACGGCU
rnacentral:rRNA from 1 species